GGAUGUGAGGGCGAUCUGGCUGUGACACCUGUCACCCUACUGGUUGCCAGGGUUGAUUCUGCUGAUCUGGCUGGCUAGGCCAGUAUCUUCUUCCUCCCUCACUGCUCCAUGUACGUCCCUCCUGAAGUUGUGCGCUUGGUCGAAGAGGACAAUGACCUUCUCCAACAGAGGAGGACCGUUCUCUUCAGUCAAGGGUAUACGAGUAGCUGCGCUCCCCUGCUAGAACUUCCAAACAAGCUCUCAGAGAUUUAGCACAGAAAUUCAUGAGGGCAAGGGUUAAGUGUUAUACCUCUUUAUCAGCCCCUUUAUGA
rnacentral:snRNA from 1 species